rnacentral:lncRNA from 1 species
CGGGCGGUCCCUCUGCGCCCGCGGGCAGAGCCCGGGGAGGGCUCCGAGCCGAAAAAUUCCUUGAUUCAAGAAAGCCACCAUGAAAGGUGAGGAAGCUCGGCAGAGGAAAAAAGAGGGCAGAACCAGGAAUGGAGAGCGAUCCAGGCACAAAGCAAAGGGCAAGGGUAAACACAGAGAGAGCCGGCUUGGCAGCCAGGAAGCAGAGGAUGUCUCUCUGCCUGCCCAGCAGAAGCUGUUGGCUGGGGAGAAAGUGUCCAUGGCAAAAUCAAGGGAAGAGUCAGCUGGUGCGAUCUGCCUGCAGGUGCUGCUGCCCUACCUCCUGGCUGGGCUUGGCAUGGUCCUGGCAGGCAUGGUGUUGGAUUAUGUUCAGGUAAGGGAUGGGAG